GUUCUUGAGACCCUCUCUUGGUUUCUCUGCUUGGUAACCGCCUAGGACUGGCCUGUGUGGAUUCCAGGGCUCAGCACAGAAGGGGAGACUCAGUGGCAGCUGUUCGCAGAGACACUGGUUCAUGAAUGAGGCUCUCGGCCCCUCUCCAGGAGGAGGCCUGGCUUCUCACCGAUGGCUGCACACCCCGGACCAUGGCUUUCCCUGCUGGGCCUCAGUCAUCCUGACUGGGAAGGAGGGUUGCAGUAGCCCAUUGUCCUGCAUCCUGCCUGGGGUUGGGCUUCCCUUAUUAGUGCCGAGCCGCCUCUCCUCAGGCCUCCUGGCCCCUGCCCAGUCUGGUUGGCAGCCUCUGUUUGUAUCAGCAUAGCCCAGAUUGUGGGUCCAAGUCACCCCAUCCCUACCCCAGAAUCAAGCCUAGUUUGUGGAUCAUCUUCCUUUGACAGGGAGGGAAUCAGACUCAGAAAGGUUGAGUGAUUCAUCUGGGGUCCCCAGCAAGCCAGCAGUAGGCUGAAGGAACACAAGCCUGGGACACAUUCUCCAUUUCUCCCCCAGUAUCUCUGAAUCUGCACCUUUCUAACAUUGAUGGAACCAAUCUGAGGAACAGGUGACCUCCCCAGGGCUUCUAUCCUCAUCGGUAUAAUGGGUCUGACAGUUCCUUCCCCACCCACCACGCCGGCACGCAAUUGGACAUUCUGUGAAAAUACUUUGGAAGGCAGAAAUCAGGAAGCUGAACUGUUACAGCACGAUUGCUGACAGACACGGAGCAGGGACAUUGUCUUCUCUUUGGGAAGUUACACUUGAAGAGACAGUGAACUACCCAGGGCCCUCCUGCCCCCUACAAGGGUUUCUCCACUCAGGGGUUUGGAAAUCUGCACACAGAUACAUACCCGGCCUACUUGCACCUAGGUACAGGGGCACAAUGACAGACGAAGCACACAGAUACAGCCACCCACUGUAAAUGUACUCAGGGACUUUCACACACACACGUGCAACAGAUACACAUGUACACACACACACACAGGCAUUCCCAUGCACUCAGAAACACAAUAUGUCCAUGUACACACAGCCAGGUCAGCCUGUAUGCACACACCCUCCUGUCCACCUGGAACACAGAGGUCUGUUGAUGCAAGCAGGUCUCACCUCCCCCAGGGCCAGUGUGGGAAUGGAUAUUCCUCUGGCUGCAUUUCAAUGGGUGCCCGGAAGUGUGCAGGCCUGGAAGUGGUUGUGUAAAUCAAUAUUUGCUGCUGUUAAUUAUUAAAACCAAAGCUACUCUGUGCCUG
rnacentral:lncRNA from 1 species